rnacentral:rRNA from 1 species
CGGGACGGGUGAGUAAUGCUUGGGAAUCUAGCUUAUGGAGGGGGAUAAUUACGGGAAACUGUAGCUAAUACCGCGUAAUAUCGAAAGAUUAAAGUGUGGGACCUUCGGGCCACAUGCCAUAGGAUGAGCCCAAGUGGGAUUAGGUAGUUGGUGAGGUAAAGGCUCACCAAGCCGACGAUCUCUAGCUGGUCUGAGAGGAUGACCAGCCACACUGGGACUGAGACACGGCCCAG